UAGGGAAUCUUCGGCAAUGGACGAAAGUCUGACCGAGCAACGCCGCGUGAGUGAAGAAGGUUUUCGGAUCGUAAAACUCUGUUGUUAGAGAAGAACAAGGACGUUAGUAACUGAACGUCCCCUGACGGUAUCUAACCAGAAAGCCACGGCUAACUACGUGCCAGCAGCCGCGGUAAUACGUAGGUGGCAAGCGUUGUCCGGAUUUAUUGGGCGUAAAGCGAGCGCAGGCGGUUUCUUAAGUCUGAUGUGAAAGCCCCCGGCUCAACCGGGGAGGGUCAGUGGAAACUGGCGGACUUGAGUGCAGGAGAGGAGAGUGGAAUUCCAUGUGUAGCGGUGAUAUGCGUAGAUAUAUGGAGGAACACCAGUGGCGAAGGCGGCUCUCUGGUCUGUAACUGACGCUGAGGCUCGAAAGCGUGGGGAGCAAACAGG
rnacentral:rRNA from 1 species